AGGAAAGGGAUCACGAGUCCCCUCGGAUCGUGCUGGACAUCCUGUGGGUGGCUUGGCAGCGCACUAUUCCGCUUUUUUCUUUUUCCCCCAAUGGGCAUAUUUUCCUUUUAUAAUCAGGAAAAAAAAAAUCAAGUUAAAGAAAAGGACACAUGUGUUUGUGCCUCAGCCCAGGCCAGGGAAGGCUGGUGGUCUUCCUUGAUGUGGAAUGCUCAGGGGCAGCGACAGUGAAGCCUGUGGUCUUUGAGGGUUCUUGGAAACCCCCUGACAAUCUCCUUCCAGAGCUUUUCUCUGCUAAAAUGUAGAGGGUUUAUGUUUUCCUUACAGUUCCUGGCAAAGUACUAAAAGGAGCCCUACCCAGUUCGCUGCUUGGGUGGACCUUCUGCUGACACCCCAGGCAUGUACUAUCCCCAAAGCAAGUAACUAUCCCGCCCACCCCCGACAUCAAGGCAGCUCGCCAAAGACAAUUUCUCUCAGGGACUGGCAUUUCUGCUUCCUCUUUCUCCUGGCUGAGAGACUGCGAAGUCUUGGAGAGAUGACUGGGAUUUCCACAGAAUCCUCAAUCUGAAGAGAAUAGGAAGCGAGUCUCACUGGAAUUGGCUGUGAAGGAUGUCCAGCAACCACUGUCCUUUGGUUCCAUCUCUGCCCAGCCAGAGCAUCAUGUUAGAGCUGAGUUUAUUGGGUGUAACCUUUGUAAGUGGGUGACCCUCUGGCUCCCCUUUGGAGGCAGGUUUACUGAGAAACCACUGAAAGCAAACACCUCAGAGGCUCUCCUUUCCACAACCUCGUCCACGGCCGUAGAAGGGACUCCCCGCACUUGGUCAUAUGCUUUUGUGAAAUCUGCCAACAUCCACCAAAGAAUUGAUGCUUUUGAACUGUGGUGUUAGAGAAGACACUUGAGAGUCCCUUGGACAACAAGAAGAUCAAACCAAUCAAUCCUAAAAGAAAUCAGUCCCAUAUAUUCAUUGGAGGGACUGAUGCUGAAGCUGAAGCUCCAACACUUUGGCCACCUGAUGCGAAGAGCCAACUCACUGGAAAAGACGCUGAUGCUGGGAGAAAGAUCGAAGGCAGAAGGAGAAAGAAGGGGGAGACAGAGGAUGAGAUGGUUGGAUGGCAUCACUGACUCAAUGCGCAUGAAUGUGAGCAAGCUCUGGGAGAUGGUGAAGGACCUGGAAGCCUGGUGUGCUGCAGUCCAUGGAGUUGCAAGGAAUCGGACACAACUUAGCAACUGAACACCACCACCAUCCGUGAGUCUUUGAAGACGAACUUCUUAAAAGCUGAGUGUGCUCUACUUUUCUUCCUACGCUGUCUGCCCCGCCUGCGCACCCCUCUUAUUUCCUUAACUUCUCCCUGCUUCCUCCCUCCCCAAACCCACAAUCUAAGUUCUAAACCUCCAUUUCUUGUCUGAGCUUCCACUUCUUGAGGACUUUGUCGCUGUCCCAGUUUAGCAUCUUCUACUGCUGCACAGCGUCUCGUGUCACGGUGGAUCCCUGCUGAGACAGACACCUUCAGAGUGUGGGCAGGAUAGUUAGCAGCAUCUCUAGCCUCUACCUUGGAGUCCUUUGACCUGUACUCUUGAGAGUCUGUUGGACAGCUAGGAGAUCAAACCAGUCCACCCUAAAGGAAGUCAACCCUGAACAUUCACUGGAAGGACUGAAGCGGAAGCUGAAGCUCUGAUCCUUUGGCUACCUGAUGCGAAGAGCUGACAUAUUGGAAAAGACCCUGAUGUUGGGAACGACUAAAGGCAAGAGAAGAAGCGGGGUGACAGAGAAUGAGAUGGUUGGAUGGCAUCACCGACUCAAUGGACAUGAGUCUGAGUAGACUCAGGGAAGGAGUGAUGGACAGGGAGGCCUAGCGUGCUGCAGUCCACGGGGUCACAAAGCAUCAGGCAUGACUGAGCGACUGAACAGCAACUGGUUUCUACUUGCUUGAUGCCAAUUCUCAUCAACUCUUGGGUAAAAUGGGCUUUGGAAACUAGAGAUUUGGAAUUUCCCUCAGGCUUGGAAGCAUUAUAUGCCAAGGAGGUGUGGGGAGGCACCAGCAGCAUCUGCUACAGUUAACCCCUAUAGCACUCAGAUGGGCUUCCCAGGUAGCACUAGCAGUAAAGGAUCUGCUUGGCAGAGCAGGAGACACGAAAAACAAGGGUUCGAUCCCUCGAUCGGGAAGGUCCCCUGGAGAAGGAAGUGGCAACCCACUCCAGUAUUUUUGCCUGAAAAACUCCAUGGACGGAGGAGCCUGGCAGGGUACAGUCCAUGGGGUUGUGAAGAGUCAGACAUGACUGAGCACACACACAGCACUCAGAACCAUUUCUGUCCUACAUUAACUCACUUCAUGCUGUACUGGUUCUUCCAGGUGAUGGCUGCUCACGAUUGAAAAAGAAUUUAAAAAAUCAUCAUGAGAGAGAGGUUAGGGGGACAGCUAUAUUUCCUGUUUCUUAAGAUGGUCUUAAGGCCAUAUUAGACAUUCAUCUUCUCCCUCCUCUUCCACCCAUUUGAGAUUCUCCUCACUCUUGGUGAGCAAUUUUUUUCUUUUUGGCCACAACAUGUGACCUGCGGAACUUCCAUGACUGGGGAUGGAAUCUGUUCCCCCUGCAAUAGAAGGACAGGAAUUGUAGCCUCCAGAGUUAUUUUAACUCGACCACCAGGGCAGCCCUCAUCUAGCACUUCUGGUCUGAACUGCUCACCUGGGGGGGUGACCCAGACUGUACCCCCAUAACUGGGGCCUUACCAGGCUGUCAUGGUAAUUAUCCACUCCCAGUCAUGACUUGACAUGAAAGCAUGAAGACACGCCCCAGGGAAUUCCCUGUGUUCUGCAAACACUCCUUCUUACCUCAUUAUGUAGACGUGACUGUAUCUCCUCAGAAUAAUUGGAGAUGAAUUACUCUGGCCUACAGCACUUCCCUUUUCUGUCUUCUGGUUUAUUGGCACGUUGCUUAGUUGCCAAGCUGUAUCCGACUCUUUUGAAACCCCACGGACUGUAGCCCACCAGGCUCCUCUGUCCAUGGGAUUCCCCAGGCGAGAAUACUGUAGUGCGUUGCCAUUUCCUUCUCCAGGGGAUCUUCCCAACUCAGGGACUGAACCCAAGUCUCCUGCAUCACAGGUGGACUUUAUUGCUGAGCCACCAGGGAAGCCCCUAUUGGCAUGAGGAGCUCAGAAUAACCAGGUUUUAGCCACACAGUGGAGUUCUAUAUCCUUUUGCAGAACACCUCCUUAUCCCCCAUCAGGAGAUUGAGACUUCUAGUCCAGCCAAACCUGAAGCGCAGAUUCCUCAGGGAGACCCUGGGAGUGGUGAUGAGAGAUGCCACUAGACAUCCAUCCCUUGGUUCCCAGAACUUUGGGGAUUCUACCAAUUGGAAUCCAGCACCCCCAUCCCUCA
ensembl:lncRNA